ACGCGCACGGUGGCUUAGUGGUUAACACGUUUGCCUCACACCUCCAGGGUCUGGGGUUCGAUUCCCCAUGUGUGUU